GGCCCAAUGGUCUAGUGGUAGGAUUCGCCCUUCGGGUAGUAAUACUCUCAAGCAUAGCUUGAUUGGGCGAGGUCCCGGGUUCAAACCCCGGUUGGGCCC